rnacentral:rRNA from 1 species
UACGUAGGCAGCAAGCGUUGUUCGGAAUUACUGGGCGUAAAGAGUGUGUAGGCGGUGCUCUAAGUUCGGUGUGAAAUCUCCCGGCUCAACUGGGAGGGUGCGCCGGAAACUGGAGUGCUGGAGCGCGGGAGAGGAAAGCGGAAUUCCUGGUGUAGCGGUGAAAUGCGUAGAUAUCAGGAGGAACACCUGCGGUGUAGACGGCUAUCUGGACGGUUACUGACGCUGAGACACGAAAGCGUGGGUAGCAAACAGG